rnacentral:piRNA from 1 species
UAAAAAGCUUGAGUAGAAAGUUGGUUUAA